rnacentral:lncRNA from 1 species
UUUGCUAUCGACAAAGGGAGACAAAGUCAAGGGGUGAAGGGAAAGGAGGGCCAAGUAGAGCCUCCACGACCCUCGGCUUCCUCCUCACCAGCUCCCCCUCCCUCCAAGUCCAGUAAGAAGUUGGGCCAAGCUGGAAGGGAUUGACCGGGUUGCUUGUCUGGAGAUGGAGCCACUACAGGCGGGCCUGGGCGCCUGGAGUCGGGCAUGAAAGAAAAUAGCGCCUCAUCGCUCUUAUCUAAGCCCAGAGGUCCAGGGGACAACCUGAGGGCCCUGAAGUGUUUCAAUACCAUGUACCAGCUUGACUUCUCUACAUGUCCUUUGGAUUGCCCAAAAGCAAAAUCUCAGAGGGGCCAAGGACCUUCUAGGGCUGGCUCCCUCAGGGCCUCCUAUAGAGCAGCUCCUUGAGUCGGGCCUUAUAGCCACCAGAAAGUCACCUCGCCGCAGGAAAGCUAUAAAGAGCUGCUCCAGAGGCGCCGAAAGAGGGUGAGGGCUGCAGCCACAGUGUUUGUCCCCAGCACCACCAGGCCCCUUAACCUCGUCAGCUCCUCUAGCCCUCGGCCAGACUCUGGCAACACCUUGGUUUGCCUGGCACCGCAGGCAAUUUCCUGGAACCCCACCCCCACCCAGGAACGGGGACCACAGCACCUUUAAAGGAACUGCCAGAGCUUCCUCCUACGGCUUGAAAGCCCAAGCUAAUCAGUAACCCGUGAGACAGGGGCCAAUAUUCAAACGCUGCAGCAG